AAACACGGAAACCUGUGCUUCCAGCGCUCCCCCCUCUCUAUCUCCAAGAGAAAAAGGGAAGAACAUAAAUUUUUGUCUCUGAUCCCUCCCUUCCUCUUUUAGGCCAAACAAACUAUCCACCGCCUUCCGAACUCCUUCUGAGACCAGAAGUUUGGAAUCCAUCAGUGCCAGAACCUCUCAUCAUGUUCUCUAGCAGCAGCAGUCACCAGUACAUCCACAAGUGAACUCCCCACUUGAUAAAAGAGAGCCAAAAAAAGAGUAAGAUUCCACACUCCUCUCCUCAAAUCCUCCCCUCAAGCCCUAAAUAGGAUCCACUCUCCAUCUCUCCCCACCAACCCCCCAUCGGAUCAUUCUAGCCCCUCUAGAUCUGUUCAGCAGAUCGAUCACAGCCACCUAGCACAUCCAACCUCCCAUCCAUAUCACCAUCGCCCUAAAAAAGCAAGAGAGCUUCAACCAGCAGCCAUGCCCACCAUCAAAUGAAUUAUAUCGCUACAUACAUAUUCAUGUUGCUCUCUCUCUCUCUCUCUCUCUCUCUCUCUCUCUCUGUAUGUAUGUAUGUGUCUAGAAAAUAAGAAACAAACUCCCUCAGCAUGCACCAAAUCCCAGAUCAAUCAUCAUCAUUU
rnacentral:lncRNA from 1 species